AAAAUGCUGUGAAACAUGAUGUGAAGAUAGAGAGAAGGACAAAAGGUGUGAGGCAAGUGUAGUGGCGACCAGUAGCCAUAAAAUCUAAAUCGAAUGAAGAAGAAUACUGGAGUGGUGGAGGGGAGGAGGUCUGUGGAGAAGAUCAAGCCAUCGAGAAAGCGAGAGGGUAUGAGCGGCAGCUGCGGCGUGAAGAUGAAGAGGUAAAAAAAGGAAGGUAAUAGAGUUUCACCGUCCUCAUUAAUUUUUGGCAAAUGACAUUGAUUACCCCU
rnacentral:lncRNA from 1 species